rnacentral:lncRNA from 1 species
AACUGAACUAGAACACAUAAAGAAAUCUCAUUGUGAAGUCUUCCUCGACAAUGUCAAACAUGAUUUCAAAUUUUGGUUCCACGUUUACUGCACUUCUUGAUCCAGUUAUGUUUCAAUCAGGUGGAAUUCAUUCAUGCCACUUAUUUAUAUCACUGAAAUCUUACCUUUUUAUCAUUAUAAUGAAUGAAUGAUUGAAGAUAAUGUGGAAGAUUUUAUAUGGGUAUUGCUUGAUGCAAACCUUGCCUCCACAAAACUAAGAGAUGACAUCUAAGUAUGGACCAUAAUGAUAGAUAGAUGAAAACACAAAUGCACUAAAACCACCCAUGCAAACACGCAAUAUAGACAUGGAAAGAAAAUUCAACCGAAUUUGGCCAACGAAGCAUUCGUACCUGUGUCGUGCUAUAACAUCUUAUACAGAUUUUAAAUAAAGAAGAUAUGGUCUGAAUCCUUUCUAAUCUAGAAAAUGGCUACACAUAGUUGUGAUUCUAGACAAGCAUCUUAGGCAUCUUAUACAGUAUUUAAAUAAAGAAGACAUGGUUUGAACCCUUUCUAAUCUGGAAAAUGGCUACACAUAUUGUGAUAAUAAGAAGACAUGCAUCUUAUACAAUUCAAAUAAAGAAGACAUGGUUGGAACCCUUUCUAAUCUGGAAAAUGGCUACACAUAGUUGUGAUAAUAAGAACAGACCUUAAAGCAACCACGCACACAACAAUAAAAUCAGGCAAGAGCUAAGAACCACCGGACCAUGAGCCUCCACAUCAUGCAGAUCAUAACCCAUCUGCUUAAUGUGUAUAAGGAUUUGGACAAGACUUUAAAUUGUGUAAUUUGACCAUCGAUUUCUCUUAAAAUAUAUUACGAAUUGCUACAAAUCAAUGUCGUAUUAAAAGAUUUCUGAACUGAAUCUAUUGAUAUAACUUUUAUUCACUAAGCAUAAACAUAAUCUGAGUAGCUAUUAGUCAACAUUUAUGAAUUUGACCUUUUUCAAAUCCUAAUACAUUAUGUUCCUGUAAAAAUAAACAGAGCAAUGUUUAAGUUAAGCAUGUCCACUCGUCUAGACGACGUAUUCUAAUUUCUUAACAAUAGGUAAAUCCCAAUGCAACAGAUAAUAUGAUUAUCAGGAGAGGGAAGAGAAUUUAAACCACAAUAAGAACCUGUAGGCACAAAUCUGAUACCCAAAGUGAGAUGUUAUCUCUUAUUUUGCUAUUUGGAUCACUAUUUUUGGAGCAAACAUUACUUCAGAAAUUAAGACCAUACAUAAUUAAGAGCUUGCGAAAUUACAAGGACUACAUGCAGUAUGUUAGUGUUGGGGCAUAUUUUAGCUUGUACUUUGCAUUGCUUUUGGGUUAAAAAUAACUGGAGCAAUCUUUGGAAAGACAAAAAAUUACUCAAUAUGUCCCAGACAGUGGGAGACAGUGGGACACAUAUUGGUGUAUAAAAAAGAAUCAAGGUUGUAAACUGCUAGAAUACUAUUAGCGUCUUCACCCGGAUGUGGCAGUAUGAUAGUUGGUGUCAAUCUGUUAGAACUUGACUUUGAAUUUCAAAUUUGUUGCUUUGCCUAGCGUUGAGUCAGGUGGUAGCCGUUACAGAUAUAGGCCUUUAUCUCUAUUUUGUUUCUAACUACUUGCUUGAACAUAUGUAUUUCCUAUUGUGUGAGAUUAUCACCUGAAAAUUCCUCAUUUGCAAUCUGUUAGUGGCUGCUAGUACCAAGCAAAUUAACGAGGAAGCUAAUAGCUGAUUAGUAGAGUACACGCAAUAGCUGCUAGCGGAGCAGUAACAGAAGCGUGGGGUAGUGGUACUCAUACCGUACCUC